rnacentral:lncRNA from 1 species
GAAUGGUAUGGGAUGGAUACUUUCGAAUGCACUCGAGCAGGGGUCUCCAUCCACAGGGCCACAGAGCCAGAGGGUCUUGCUCUAUUGUCCAGGCUGGAAUGUGGUAGUGCUAUCACAGCUGACUGCAUCCUCGACCUCUCAGGCUCAAGCAGUCCUCCCACCUCAGCCUCCCAGGUGGCUGAGACUGUAUGUGCUUUGCCACAAUGCCCAACUAAUAUUUGGACUUUUCCUAUACAUGGGUUCCAAAGGGCUGACUGCGAAAUGCCCAGAACUUCCUGAAAUCGGCCUCCCCCGGCCCAGUUGCUGCCUGCCGGCGUCCUCUCCGGGCCCAGCUAUUUGCUCAUGGCUACGCCCACAGGCCCAGCUCCUGCCUCCGAACAGCCUCCUUUGACUCGGCUCCUGCCCAGCUCCCAGCAACCUACCUCGGCCCAAAGCCUGCUCCAGUCCAGCUCUCCAGGCCCGCCUCUUGCCUCGCAGCGGCCUUUCCAGGCCCAGCUCUCGCCUUGCGGCGGCCUUCCACGACCCCGCUCGUGCCGGCCUCCGGGCAGCCUCCACAAGCCCAGCUCCUGCCUCACGCUGGUCCCUGUAGGCCCAGCUUGUGCCUCGCGGUGGCCUCUCCAGACCCAGCUCCCGCCCACCCCGACGUGUCUCCCGGCCCAAAGCUCCCUUACUGAACGAUGACCCCUCUAGACCCAGCUCCUGCCUGCUGCUGAUGGCCUCUGCGGGCCCACCCAAAGCAUCCCGAAGUUGGCUUCACCAGGCCUAGCUGCUGCCUGUUGUAGGCCCCUAGGGGCACGGCCUCUGCCCCACACCAGCGCCCCCGGAACCAGCUCUUGCCUCAUCCUAGCUGCAUCAGGCCAAGCUCCUGCCUUUUGGUGGUCUAUCCAUGCCUGGCUCUUGACCGCUGGCAUCCUUUCCAGGCCCAGAACUGUUUCCAGUGGCCCUCUCCAGGCCUGGCUCUCCAUCCGGGCUGCGUCCAGCGGUCCAACCCCUGCCUCACG